rnacentral:lncRNA from 1 species
CUCUCUCUCUCUCUCUCUCUCUCUCUCUCUCUCUCUCUCUCUCUCUCUCUCUCUCUCUCUCUCUCUCUCUCCACAAUCAACAUAUUACUUCUUGUCCUCUUUGCCUCAUUGGCAUUGAAACUCUAGACCAUCUUUUUAUGCAAUGUCAUUUUUCUCAUUUUGUUUAGACACUACUGCAUGUUUGGUACCCAAGAUAAGCUGGGCUUGGACUAUUUUAGCUUAAAAAUUAGUCCUUGUCCUAUGUUUGGUGGAGACUGGGACUCAAUUAAAUGAGUUUGUGAGUCCCCAUGUCCUCUCCACACCGUGCUACAUAGAGACCCCAAUUUUGGGGGGUUUACAUAAGCGCGACCUCUCUCUCGUUCUCUUCUUCACUUCGCUGCGCUCCUCCUCGUCUCUCUCAACUUCGCUGCUCCUCACUUUGCUUUGCUUCAAUUCGUCAACUGCUCCAGGUACUUUCUCUUUCUCUUAGUCUCUCAUCUUCAACCCCUCUUUGUUGUUCAUUUUAUUUUUUGGAUAUUCGAUUUGGAAAUCAAGAUCGAUUAUCUUUUGAAAUUGUUUGUGGGUGUUUGAUGGAAUAGAAGAUUUUGGGGGUUGAAAAUCUGAGGUCAAUUUGAUCCUUUGGGCUCAUCUCUGUGUUGAAUAUGUGGGCAAAUCAAGUUUCCAGGUCGACCCGACAGGAACAAGAAUUCAGGGAUGAGAUUAAUCAAGGUAAUCACGAACUCUCAAGUUGGGGUUCCCUUAUUCCAUAUCAAAUUGACCAACACUACCAGGACAAGCACUUUAGCCGACGAAAAAUUUUCGUCAGCCUGUUAGCUUAAUUCGUCGGCUAAGAUUUCGUCGGGAAAAGGUCGUCUGUGGUAACUUUAGCCGACGACACAUGAAGAAGUCGGUUAUCUUCCCAGACUUUAGCCGACGAAACAUUUAAGAUAUUCGUCGGCUAUAGUCCUAGAGUUUAGCCGACGAAAAACAUGUCGUCGGUUUUUCUCAGACUUUAGCCGAUGAAACAUUUAAGAUAUUCGUCGGCUAAAGUGUGUAAUAAAAAAAUAAAAAAUAACUAAAAGCCGACG